rnacentral:rRNA from 1 species
AACAGGAUUAGAUACCCUGGUAGUCCACGCAGUAAACGAUGAUCACUAGCUGUUUGCGAUACAGUGUAAGCGGCACAGCGAAAGCGUUAAGUGAUCCACCUGGGGAGUACGCCGGCAACGGUGAAACUCAAAGGAAUUGACGGGGGCCCGCACAAGCGGAGGAACAUGUGGUUUAAUUCGAUGAUACGCGAGGAACCUUACCCGGGUUUGAACGCAUUCGGACCGAGGUGGAAACACCUUCUCUAGCAAUAGCCGUUUGCGAGGUGCUGCAUGGUUGUCGUCAGCUCGUGCCGUGAGGUGUCGGCUUAAGUGCCAUAACGAGCGCAACCCUUGCCACUAGUUACUAACAGGUGAUGCUGAGGACUCUGGUGGGACUGCCAGCGUAAGCUGCGAGGAAGGCGGGGAUGACGUCAAAUCAGCACGGCCCUUACAUCCGGGGCGACACACGUGUUACAAUGGCGUGGACAAAGGGAUGCCACCUGGCGACAGGGAGCGAAUCCCCAAACCACGUCUCAGUUCGGAUCGAAGUCAGCAACCCGACUCCGUGAAGCUGGAUUCGCUAGUAAUCGCGCAUCAGCCAUGGCGCGGUGAAUACGUUCCCGGGCCUUGUACACACCGCCCGUCAAGCCAUGGGAGCCGGGGGUACCUGAAGUCCGUAACCGAAAGGAUCGGCCUAGGGUAAAACUGGUGACUGGGGCUAAGUCGUAACAAGGUAACC